rnacentral:rRNA from 1 species
ACUCCUACGGGAGGCAGCAGUGGGGAAUAUUGCACAAUGGGCGCAAGCCUGAUGCAGCCAUGCCGCGUGUAUGAAGAAGGCCUUCGGUUGUAAAUGUACUUUCAGCAGUGAGGAAGGUGGGUAUGUUAAUAGCAUACUCAUUUGACGUUAGCUGCAGAAGAAGCACCGGCUAACUCCGUGCCAGCAGCCGCGGUAAUACGGAGGGUGCGAGCGUUAAUCGGAAUUACUGGGCGUAAACGCGCAUGCAGGUGGUUUGUUAAGUCAGAUGUGAAAGCCCGGGGCUCAACCUCGGAAUUGCAUUUGAAACUGGCAAACUAGAGUACUGUAGAGGGGGGUUAGAAUUUCAGGUGUAGCGGUGAAAUGCGUAGAGAUCUGAAGGAAUUACCGGUGGCGAAGGCGGCCCCCCUGGACAGAUACUGACACUCAGAU